UAACAUUUACAUUCAUCAAUUCACAUCCAACAAUAUUAACAUUUAACAAUUCACAUAUAUACAUAAUCAGGAGGUCAUAAUAUGUUCAACACAAUCCAAAAGUCCACA